GGGUCUAAGCCUGCUCAAGUCUGAUAGUCUCACUGGCUUUAAGAAAAACUCCUCAGCCCCUUCUUCCAAGCAUCUGUUAUUAACCACAUAGUUUAAUCAAUUAAACUUCACAAUUCAAAUUUUCCUACCAUUUUUUUAAGGAGAAUCAAGAGACGGAAACACGAGGAGUGCAGAAACAGAAAACGAGAGCGUGAAAAUCCCUAAAAAGAAAAGUUACCUGGUGAUUCUUGAAGGCACAUUCUCAGAUGACAUGAUCACAACAGGUAUGUUCCUCAGAGAUGAAGACUCCUGAGAAAUCCACAAAAAAAAAUAAAAAAAAUCCUAUAAACUUUUUGGAAUGUGACAAAGGAAAUCUUGC